rnacentral:rRNA from 1 species
UACAUAGGGGGCAAGCGUUAUCCGGAAUUAUUGGGCGUAAAGCGUGCGUAGGCGGUUUAUUAAGUCUGAUGUUAAAACUCACAGCUCAACUGUGAGAUGCCAUUGGAAACUGGUAAACUUGAGUGCGGUAGAGGUAAGUGGAAUUCCAAGUGGAGCGGUGGAAUGCGUAGAUAUUUGGAGGAACACCAGUGGCGAAGGCGGCUUACUGGGCCGUUACUGACGCUGAGGCACGAAAGCGUGGGGAGCAAAC